UGAUGGGACUCUGAAGAGACCGUUUGUGGUCAUAACGGCACCGAAGGAGAAAUUGCUCAGCAAGAAGCUCUCAGGUAUAACAGACAGAGAUUGUAUG
rnacentral:ncRNA from 2 species